UUCUUCUUCUUUACGGUUAGUAUUACAUUUCUCUUUCAUAAUCUUUAAUUAAAAACAGAACAAAACGACACUACCACUGGAUUUAUUUUAUUAAUAUUUUUUAAUUCCCUGCCAAAUUUCAAGUUCUGAAGAUAUUUGACGAAUUGCCUCUUGCGAGCGAAGCGUGGCGAUAAUUUUAGUAGAGAACUAAUUUUAAAAGAGCACUAAAAUAAUGGGGUUGAAAGUUGAAACAACUCAUAGGCCAUAGCAUUGCCAAACCUUGAGUUAGAAGGGAAAAGUAGGACUUUUCUAGGGUGCGAAAGCGACCAAUGUGAGCAAAACCAAAUUAAUCAUUACUUGUAGAGGUAUUGCAAUCUGUGGCUGCUAAAUCAAACAUUGGCUUUGGCCAUACGAAACAUUAAGAAAAGGAGACACGCACCUGGCCAGGAAGAACAUGAAGUUGCGGUGGGUUGAUCUUGGCAAAAACAAACAAACUCAUUUGUAGUCCUAUUAAAUCCACAACUCCCACCAGAAUCAAUGCACCUAUUGCAUUGAUCAUUACUUAUUUGCCACUGCAAUCCAAACCCCUCCUUUAGUGCAUCAUUAAUUGUUAUUCUAUUGUUGUCUAAGGCCUGAGCACUUGUUUCCGGAAUGGGGACAAUGACACUGCUAUUGCACGGAUUGAAUGGCAAAUCUCCAGUGACGGAGAAAACGUUGAUGUUUGUUCCGUUUACGAAGCAAUCAGGUUGACGAAGAAUUUCUGAGAACGGAGCUUUGGGCGUAGAAGAGCAACCAUAGAGUAAGGUCACGUUCCUGAGGUCUGGGGCAUAUCUGAAGACAGCGUAAUCUAGGGAGUUGUUAUAGAAGUGAUCAGGACAAAUACUGGAGUAAAAAUCUUCCCUGGCUACUCUAAGGACUUGAUUUUCAGGGCUGAUGUCAAGAAUUCUGAAGGUAUUAGAUGCCGCUUUGAUCAUUGGCACAUUGUCUUGGCACUUGAGCUCAAACUCUGGUUGACCACAGUAACCUGCUCGGUUUAUACCCCAGAAAGGAUAACCAAUAUUUUGAAUGUUUCCACAUUCAAAUGCCUGAUUGCAGUUAGCAUAUCUAUAAUCAUCAGCACAAAAGGAUGUCUGAAUGUUGGUUGAGAUGAGAAAAAUGAGGAAAAGGAAAAGAAAGGUAUUGGUUUGCAUAGUUAGCGAGAGGAAAAGGGCUUGAAGGCCUGGUACAUAAAGGAUACUAGGAAAGGGAUGAUUGGAAAUUGCAAAUCAAAUGAAUUCCAUUUCUUGUCUGCAUGAAUAACCAGACAUCAACAAGUGAUCAUUAUGAAAUUUUAGUUCUGAUUAUGUCAAAAUGGGAGCUUUUGAAUCCUGUUUUGGAAUUUCUGCUCGUUAUUAACUAAAAGAGACUGGAAAGAGUCAAACUAUGAGCAACUCAGCAAAAACAACCAAGAAAAAUCCUCUGUUGAGCACAUGGCAAAGAAAUGCUAAUGUCAGUAUCUUUAGUAGCUAACAAACGUGAUAAUGGGACAAAGUAAAGACCAUAUCCUCUGGUGUAAUAUUCUAGGACUAAUAAGUUCCGAGCGCAAAAGUUAAAAAAAUGACCGUAAUAUUAGAAGUCAAAAAUGAAAAUUUAGCCAGAAUCACCAAAUCCAGGACACAGGGAGCAACCAAACAUCCUAGUUGGAGUGUAAAAAUAGAUAUCAAUAAAUAAAAAAAAAAGUGCAUGACUAUUGAUUCUGCAUCCUACAACUUUCAACUAUUUAACUUGCAUAAUUUUGAAUUUUUAUAAUUCAAAGGUAGGAAAUAGAAGAGUUACUCAACUUUUAUGUUAUAAUAUAAUAUAAUAGUCUUUUUUAGAUGUUCUUGAUUAAACAUGUUACUUGACCUUAGCUAUGGGUAUUAUACUGUGUUAAAGGUCAUUGCCAUUGGAUAAUUUUCCCCAGUCAGCAACAAGUAAAAUGCUUGAUGCCAGAAACACAAAUUUCUGUGCUGUGAUAGAAAUUGACAAAAAUCUGCUACCAAAAUUUCUUUUGACUACUUGGUAAGAUAGCGACACCAUUGAAAACAAUUGAACAACUAUAAUUUAGUAAUGGAGGGGUGGCCAUUAAUUGCCUCUACCAUACGUAAGCCUAAAUAUUCCUUGUUAAUUCAGUCUAGUUUCAGAGUUUGAUUCUCUAUAAUAGUCUCAAUAAAAUAAAUAAAGAAAACUGGAAAGUAACUAAUGAAGUGUGCUAAUAGAUGAAUACCUGGAAUAGCAGGAACAAUAUCCGGCGAAGAAGUGCAUGUUUUUGUUGGUAUAAAUUGACCGAGACAAUAGCAAGUUGUUUCUUUAGACAAGUGAUCAUAACCACAAACUCCUUUGGACCCGAUGCAAUUGGUACAUGUUGUGUCAUCCACUUUCCAUUUCACCUGGAAUCCUUGUUUUAAGCUUCCUUCUAAACUUGACAAACUGAUUAUUGCCGUUGCCAAAUUCAAUUCAGAAACAGGCACAAAGACACUGCGAUAACAAUAUCCAGGGCCAACAGCAUCCGGUAACACAUAACCUUCUGGAGACGCAGAUCCACUUAUGCGGCAAUUGAAUAGUGCUGGUACUACAGUUAUCGGGCAACCAUAAAUAAUUGUAAGGUUCUUGUAACCGGGAACAUAUUCAAAAAGCUGAGGAUCAAGCGUGGUGUUCUUUAAUUGAGGUUGACAGAGUCCAUCCAUGUAAUCCUCUCUUGCAAUUCUCAGAGUUUGACUUUGCUCAUCGAUUUCCAAAACACGGUACGUUUCAUCUUUGAUCUCAAUUGUGGGGGUAUCAUUCUUACACUUGAGCUUCAAGCCUGGAAUUCCACAGACAUCUGGUCUGUCUUUCCCCCAGAAAGGAAAACCAGCGGCAAUACUGCCACAGACGAACUGAGAGGUAUUGCAGGAAGCGUAGAAGUCAGGGUUGCUUAAACAACAAGGAAUUCUAGUAGCAAACAAGAACACAAAAAUUGGAAGCCACAGAAAUGGAGGGAAUGGGAAAAGUGAAAAAUUCAUUUCAGGCCUGGAAUGAAAAUAGAGAUGACUGAGCUAGAGUUUGGUUUUUUCAGCUUUUCAGGAGCUACAGAAAUGGUACAUUUGAACGGGAAUUAAAGUAAUAAAAUUGACAGAAACUGGAAGAAAAGAAUCCAAAGAUAUCUGAGACUUGAGAUUAUUGAAUGCCUUAAUUUUUUUUUUUGGUUUGGCACAGGAUUAUUGAAUGCUGUUGUUGACUUAAAAUACGUGUAAGCAUAUUUCCACUCGCGUUUCAUAGUCAUGGGACAGGAAUAGUUUAUUAUAUUUU
rnacentral:misc_RNA from 1 species